UACGGGGGGAGCAAGCGUUGUUCGGAAUUACUGGGCGUAAAGGGCUCGUAGGCGGCCAACUAAGUCAGACGUGAAAUCCCUCGGCUUAACCGGGGAACUGCGUCUGAUACUGGAUGGCUUGAGUGUGGGAGAGGGAUGCGGAAUUCCAGGUGUAGCGGUGAAAUGCGUAGAUAUCUGGAGGAACACCGGUGGCGAAGGCGGCAUCCUGGACCACGACUGACGCUGAGUGAGCGAAAGCCAGGGGAGCAAACGGG
rnacentral:rRNA from 1 species